CGGAUGGGUGAGUAACACGUGGGGAACCUGCCCCUAAGUCUGGGAUACCAUUUGGAAACAGGUGCUAAUACCGGAUAAUAAAGCAGAUCGCAUGAUCAGCUUUUGAAAGGCGGCGUAAGCUGUCGCUAAGGGAUGGCCCCGCGGUGCAUUAGCUAGUUGGUAAGGUAACGGCUUACCAAGGCGACGAUGCAUAGCCGAGUUGAGAGACUGAUCGGCCACAUUGGGACUGAGACACGGCCCAAACUCCUACGGGAGGCAGCAGUAGGGAAUCUUCCACAAUGGACGCAAGUCUGAUGGAGCAACGCCGCGUGAGUGAAGAAGGUUUUCGGAUCGUAAAGCUCUGUUGUUGGUGAAGAAGGAUAGAGGUAGUAACUGGCCUUUAUUUGACGGUAAUCAACCAGAAAGUCACGGCUAACUACGUGCCAGCAGCCGCGGUAAUACGUAGGUGGCAAGCGUUGUCCGGAUUUAUUGGGCGUAAAGCGAGCGCAGGCGGAAAAAUAAGUCUAAUGUGAAAGCCCUCGGCUUAACCGAGGAACUGCAUCGGAAACUGUUUUUCUUGAGUGCAGAAGAGGAGAGUGGAACUCCAUGUGUAGCGGUGGAAUGCGUAGAUAUAUGGAAGAACACCAGUGGCGAAGGCGGCUCUCUGGUCUGCA
rnacentral:rRNA from 1 species